rnacentral:rRNA from 1 species
CCGGUAAACGGCGGCCGUAACUAUAACGGUCCUAAGGUAGCGAAAUUCCUUGUCGGGUAAGUUCCGACCUGCACGAAUGGCGUAAUGAUGGCCAGGCUGUCUCCACCCGAGACUCAGUGAAAUUGAACUCGCUGUGAAGAUGCAGUGUACCCGCGGCAAGACGGAAAGACCCCGUGAACCUUUACUAUAGCUUGACACUGAACAUUGAGCCUUGAUGUGUAGGAUAGGUGGGAGGCUUUGAAGUGU